ACUCCUGCGGGAGGCAGCAGUGGGGAAUAUUGGACAAUGGGCGCAAGCCUGAUCCAGCCAUGCCGCGUGAGUGAUGAAGGCCCUAGGGUUGUAAAGCUCUUUCACCGGUGAAGAUAAUGACGGUAACCGGAGAAGAAGCCCCGGCUAACUUCGUGCCAGCAGCCGCGGUAAUACGAAGGGGGCUAGCGUUGUUCGGAUUUACUGGGCGUAAAGCGCACGUAGGCGGACUAUUAAGUCAGGGGUGAAAUCCCGGGGCUCAACCCCGGAACUGCCUUUGAUACUGGUAGUCUUGAGUUCGAGAGAGGUGAGUGGAAUUCCGAGUGUAGAGGUGAAAUUCGUAGAUAUUCGGAGGAACACCAGUGGCGAAGGCGGCUCACUGGCUCGAUACUGACGCUGAGGUGCGAAAGCGUGGGGAGCAAACAGGAUUAGAAACCCGGUAGUCCC
rnacentral:rRNA from 1 species